rnacentral:rRNA from 1 species
UACGUAGGGUGCGAGCGUUGUCCGGAAUUACUGGGCGUAAAGGGCUCGUAGGUGGUUUGUCGCGUCGUCUGUGAAAUUCCGGGGUUUAACUCCGGGCGUGCAGGCGAUACGGGCAUAACUUGAGUACUGUAGGGGUAACUGGAAUUCCUGGUGUAGCGGUGAAAUGCGCAGAUAUCAGGAGGAACACCGAUGGCGAAGGCAGGUUACUGGGCAGUUACUGACGCUGAGGAGCGAAAGCAUGGGUAGCGAACAGG